rnacentral:rRNA from 1 species
UACGUAGGUCCCGAGCGUUGUCCGGAUUUAUUGGGCGUAAAGCGAGCGCAGGUGGUUUAUUAAGUCUGGUGUAAAAGGCAGUGGCUCAACCAUUGUGUGCAUUGGAAACUGGUAGACUUGAGUGCAGGAGAGGAGAGUGGAAUUCCUAGUGUAGCGGUGAAAUGCGUAGAUAUUAGGAGGAACACCGGUGGCGAAAGCGGCUCUCUGGCCUGUAACUGACACUGAGGCUCGAAAGCGUGGGGAGCAAACAGG